rnacentral:tRNA from 1 species
GGGGAUAUGGCGGAAUUGGUACACGCUACGGACUUGAUUAAAUUGAGCUUUAGUAGGAAAUCCUACUAAAUGAUAGCUUUCCAAUACAGGGAAACCCGAGAUAGUUCGAAUGGGCAAUCCUGAGCCAAAUCCAAGUCAGAGGAUUCUCUGACUAAAAAAGGUAGAUAGGUGCAGAGACUCGAUGGAAGUUAUUCUAACUAUGAAUAUCAUUCAAAUCAACUGGAUUUCAUUUUCUAGAGAGAAAAGAAAUCCGUUAUAGAGCGAAUAAAGAGAGAGCCCAUUUCUACAUGUUCUUUUCAGCACCAAUGAAAUUUGGAGUAGUCAGAAAAUCCGUUGGUCUACGAGACCUUGAGGGUUCAAGUCCCUCUAUCCCCA